rnacentral:rRNA from 1 species
UACAGAGGGUGCAAGCGUUAAUCGGAAUUACUGGGCGUAAAGCGCGCGCAGGCGGCAGUGCAAGUAAGGUGUGAAAUCUCCCUGCUCAACGGGGAGGGUGCAUUUUAGACUGCACAGCUAGAGGUCGGUAGAGGGGGGUGGAAUUGCUGGUGUAGCGGUGAAAUGCGUAGAGAUCAGCAGGAACACCCGUGGCGAAGGCGGCCCCCUGGGCCGUACCUGACGCUGAGGCGCGAAGGCUAGGGGAGCGAACGGGG